rnacentral:lncRNA from 1 species
AUAAGACAUAGGAGCAGGAUGGGAGGAGCUCAGCCUACCUGGACUGGAGCUGGAGGAGCCGUCUGUGCAGGCAGUCCUCAAAGGCUCGGCUUGCCGGCUUCCUGCAGACACUCCAGUGAACCAGCCUUUGAAUAGCAGACUAAGUUGGAGCAGCUCAAAGGGCCCUGACGGCAGAAGUAGCUGCUGAGUGCACACCUGCGGGCAGUGUGUGACCCUUGUCUGUGUCUGAGCAGAGUGAGCUACAGGUUGUCGGCCAGCUGGAGAGGUGCCAUGGAGGGAAUUGGUGCCCAGGGACUGAUGGGAUCUUACGGAGGUUGGCCUUGAGGAUCAGUGUACGAUGUGGCCUAUGGACUGUUCUGUGUUCCAUUGGGGAGACCACGUAUUCUGUAGAUUUGGAUGGGGCAGUCUGCAGAUGUCUGAGCGGUCCGUUUGGUCUGGGAUACGGUGGGCCUCAGGGAAAGAAGAGAGGAAAGGAAGGCUGAGAGAAAAGGGGCUUCGACAAGUGAGGACAGUAGUUACCAAGGAAACAGAGAAGAGCAGAGACAUCGGAAGCAUCUCCAAGUUGGCACUGUGGACCACGGUGGACGGUCAUCUGGUAUACAGAUGACGCCGUGCCUUCCCCCUGCAUCCCUGAGUCACAUCACAGCAAUUUUUAUCCUUCCUUCAUUUUAUAGUUCUUAUUUGCGCAUGUAUGUGCACACUGUGCACGUGCACGCAUCUGUGCGAGUGGAGGCCAGAGGUUGGCAUCAGGUGUCUUUCUUAGUUAUUAUUCUCUAUCUUAUCUUUUGAGACAGUCUCCUGAACCUGGAGCUCACUCACGUGGCUAGAUGGGGUACCCUGAUAACUCUAGGGCUCUGCCUGUGUCCACUCUCAUAGCGCUGGGAUUUCCAGCACGCGCUACAGUACAUGGCUUUUUUUCCAUGGGCUCUGGCAAUUUGAACUCAGGCCCCCAUGUUUGUGUGGCAAGCACCUUGCCCACUAGACUGUUUCACCAGCCCCUACUGUGCCGUCUGUCUUCCUAUAAAAUGACUUAAUUUGUCUGCGUGCUGUCCCCAGCAAGGUCAUCUUCCCUGGGACCUGGAAAGGGCUGGCCCACAGAGACACUGCCAUAGCUGGGGGCCACAGUGCUCCUGCGAUGGAGACUGGCCAUCUUCUGCUUGAUUUGCAUCCUCUGCCCCUGAAAGGGCUUAGGAGGAGGCUACCCAUAAAAGGGGAUUAUUGUGUGUGUGUGUGGGGGGGGACCAUAGCAAUAAAAAGACUUAGGAGAUUAACAAGAUGAGAACAUUAGCAAAAACUCAUCAGUUCUAAGAGAUAUUCUGUGAAAACAGAAAAAUUUUCUUAAAAAAAAAAAAAAAAAAAAAAGUCCGUUCAAUGAAAAUUUCCUCCGAAUAGAGUGUUUGGCAUUUCU